ACACGCAAAUGUAUUUUCCUGGCUGCAGCACCUGCCAUCUUGCCUCGGUAGGACUCAUUUUCAAAAACAGCAGCUUCUUGAAGCCCCAGAACGCAUUCCUGUGUUACGGAAGACGGAAGAGUAGCUCUCGGGGUCAGAAGGCGAAGGUCAGAAGGCCGAAUUGGCGGGAGAAUAGGUUUGGUGGUCCGAGAUCCGAGGCAACGGUGGCUCCUCGAGGUCCACGGUCCCGGAGAUGGGAUUUCGCCAUGUUGCCCAGGCUGAUCUUGAACUCCUGGGCUGAAGAUAUCCACCCUCCUUGGCCUCCCAGUGUGCUGGGAUUAUAGGCCUGAGCCACCAUGCCUGGCCCGAGUGUUCAUUGAUGAUGAGAGAUGGGCUUUUCGCAUCAAAUCACAAAAAUAUGCUGAGUAAUGUGAGGAUUCUUGCUUUUCUGGAAGCUAACACAUAGUCAGUGCCAAAGUAGUGACAGAAGAAAUCUUGGGAGGAAGCAUUUUUGUCUUGUACUUGAAACAGCUGCUGGGCCCACCAUGGCUCCUGUGAAGAUCAGCCAUGUGGUAUCAUUUUCUUCUCAGGAUCCCAAGUAUCCUGUAGAGAACUUGCUAAACCCAGAUAGUCCAAGGAAACCUUGGCUCAGCUGCCCUCAGGACAAGAGUGGGCAAUUGAAAGUAGAACUACAGCUGGAGAGGGCAGUGCCCAUUGGCUACAUUGAUGUGGGUAACUGUGGCUGUGCGUUCCUGCAAAUUGAUGUGGGCCGUUCUUCCUGGCCCCUGGACAGACCUUUCAUAACCCUGCUCCCUGCAACCACGCUAAUGUCUCUAACUGAUUCAAAGCAGGGGAAGAACCGCUCCGGGGUCCGCAUGUUUAAAGAUGUUGAUUUCCUGGCUCCAGCCUCAGGAGAGUUAUGGGAUCGACUUCGCCUGACCUGCUCCCAACCCUUCACGCGUCAUCAGUCCUUUGGCCUGGCCUUUCUACGGGUGCGUUCUUCUCUGGACUCCUUAGAUGACUCUGUGGUGGGUCCGUCAGCCCUUGUGAGCUCUGUGCUGAACAAGAGCUCACGCAGCGGGCGCCCACGAUCAGCUUAAUCAUCACUCACUUCCAUCGGAUCAACUGGAAAACAAGUCAGAUGAGAGUGCUGAGUCUCAGAGGAUGGACAUCUCACCCCUUGCCAUACAGAGAAGUAGAAAGUGUGGUAUUCAAAAUUCAUGGCCAGACUCGAAGUCCCGAGUACUAUACUUCCUGUUCUUCCAACUCUCAAAAAGUUGUGGGUUUUUUUUGUUUUUGUUUUUGUUGUUUUGAGACGGAGUCUCAUUCCGUUGCCCAGGCUGGAGUGCAGUGGAGUGAUCUCAGCUCACCACAACCUGUGCAUCCCAGGUUCAAGCUAUUCUCCUGCCUCAGCCUGCCAGGUGGCUGAGAUGACAGGCGCCCGCCACUACGCCUGGCUCAUUUUUUCUAUUUUGAAUAGAGACCUGGUUUCACCAUGUUGGCCAGGCUGGUCCCGAAUUCCUGACCUUGUGAUUCGCCUGCCUCAGCCUCCCAAAGGGCUGGGAUUACAGGCGUGAGCCACCGCUCCCAGCUUCCAAAAGUCUUAAGCAGAGCUCAGAGGUCUUAACCACAGGCACAUCGGAGGAGCAUUUUUGAAACGCUUUCCAGCUUCCUCAAUAGGAAUGGAAGCCAAACUCCGAAUUGAUGACUCCUUUGAGGAAGUCAAGAGCUGUACGGAAAGCCAGGAACAGGGGCAAGGGAGAGAUGCAUCCCGAAUGAUCCUGUGCCAAUUCUUUCUGGAAUCCUUGAUGUGAUCUCAGCUGUCCUUUUCAUACUUGACACAGUGAUUGUGGCACCCACUGGUCUAGCUGUGGUCUACAAGGAACCCCCAAAGGGAAGGGCACAGUGAGCAGGGGCAUCCGCCUGAGUGACGACGAUUUGAGAGGGCAGGUUGGUUGCAGGGAGAGGACUGGCCAAAUGCCAUGUGUCUGGACUUAGACUGCAUGGUUCAAAAUAGACUUCACCCUUUUUGACUUCGUGAUCUAGUAUGAGUUAUAUGAAAAGGCGUUGCUCCUUUUCUAGUCUGUAAAAUCAUCCUGAAAUGUGCACUAAUAACGUGGAGACUAUGCAGAUGAAAUGAAACAAGCAGCAUAGAACACAGAGCUCAGAACCUGACCUUUAGGAAGCCCUCAGUAAGGGUUCAUGAGGCCAUGGUGUCUGUCGUCAUCCUCUUUAUCCUCAUCAUCACCUUCAUAAUCUGUUUGUUGUUCUUAGGGAAUAGUUUAGAGGGACUGAUUCCAUGCUAUCAUGGGUGAGAUGUCUAUGAAAAGGACAACCAGUGGGGGAGGAAAGCAAAAUUUUGAAUAAGAUUUCUGAGACCCCCAGCACAACCAAGAACAGAAACUGCACAGUCUGCUGAGCGGACAGUUUGCACAUUGGUCUCCUCCCAUCUGCCCACCACACUCUCCUGUGUGUCCUGAGGAGGAGGAAACCAAACAAGGCUCCUGAACGUCCCUCAGCACUCACUUGAAGGGGUGGCCUGCCCCUCCACACCUGUGGGUAUUUCUAGUCGGGUGGGAUGAGAGACUGAGGAAAGAAAUAAGACACAGAGACAAAGUAUAGAGAAACGACAGUGAGCCCAGGGGACCGGCGCUCAGCAUACCAAGGACCUGCACCGGCACCGGCCUCUGAGUUCCCUCAGUUUUUACUGAUUAUUAUUUUUAUUAUUUUAGCAAAAAGGAAUGUAGUAGGAGGGCAGGGUGAUAAUAAGGAGAAGGUCAGCAAUGAACAUGUGAGCAAUAGAAUCUAUAUCAUAAUGAAGUUCAAGGGAAGGUACUAUGACUGGACAUGUACGUAAGCCAGAUUUAUGUUUCUCUCCACCCAAACAUCUCAGCGGAGUAAAGAAUAACAAGGCAGCAUUGCUGCAAACAUGUCUCACCUCCCACCAUAGGGCGGUUUUUCCCCCAUCUCAGAAUUGAACAAAUGUACAAUCGGGUUUUAUACCGAGACAUUCAGUUCCCAGGGGCAGGCAGGAGACAGGGGCCUUCCUCUCUCUCAACUGCAAGAGGCUUUCCUCUUUGACUAAUCCACCUCAGCACAGACCCUUUACGGGUGUCGGGCUCGGGGACGGUCAGGUCUUUCUCAUCCCACGAGGCCACUUUUCAGACUAUCACAUCAGGAGAAACCUUGGACAAUACGCCGCUUUCAAAGGCAGGGCUCCCUGCGGCUUUCCACAGUGUAUCGUGCCCCUGGUUUAUUGAGACUAGAGAAUGGCGAUGACUUUUACCAAGUAUACUGCUUGGAAACAUCUUGUUAACAAGGCACGUCCUGCACAGCCCUAGAUCCCUUAAACCUUGAUUUCAUACGACACAUGUUUUUGUGAGCUUCAGGUUGGGUCAAAGUGGCUGGGGCAAAGCUACACAUUAACAACAUCUCAGCAAAGCAAUUGUUGAAAGUACAGGUCUUUCUCCAAAUGGAGUCUCUUAUGUCUUUCCUUUCUACAUAGACACAGUAAGAGUCUGAUCUCUCUUUCUUUUCCCUACACUCACUGAACUGCCCUUCCCCUCUGCUGGGCCAUGACUGCGGAGAACAGGUCCACUGUCCUCCCUGUGUGGUGCACCAUGGAGGCUCAGACUCCGUCCUCAAGGCUGGCAAGAAGACAGGGUGAGACGUGAGCCUCCUGAUACAGGUGACGGGAGUGGAGCCCCCAGGACUGGAACCUCACACUGCAGGGCUGGAGGCACAGACUGAGGAUUUACUAUUCUGUGGCCUGGGUGGCUCAAGGCACAGAGCUCCUUCUUAGCCAAGGUCACCCAAUUUCCCCAACCUCUAAGGAUGUCCUUAUAAUAAUGCAAGAAGAAGAAGAGAAAAGACUGAUAAAGCUAAAAUGAGACUCCCAGGGUAUGGCCCUCAUGCGAUAUGGCUGAUGUCCUUAUUAGAAGAGGAAGAGACACCAGGAAUGCAUGUGCACAAAAAAAUGCCAUAAGAGGACAUGGCAAGAAGGCAACCAGCUGCAAGCCAAGACAGGCCUCAGGAGAAACCAAAUGUGCUGACAUCUUGAUCUUAGACUUAUAACUUCCAGAACUGUGAGAAAAUGAACUUUUGUUACUUAAGGCACCCAUUCUGUGGUACUUUAUUAUGAUAACCCUAUAGCAAUGCAAGAAUGGCCUAAUACAUCUAUAUUUAUAUUGGACAAAAUUGACUUUAAGUGAAAAAACAUAAAAAGAGACAAAGAAGGCCAUCAUAUAAUAAUAAAAGGGCCAAUCCAGCAAGAGGAUAUAAAAAUUCCAAAUAUGUAUAUAUAUGUACCCAGUAGUGGAAUAGAUGUAUUAAAAAUGUCAUUAGAGCUAAAGAGAGAGAUACACCUUAACAUCAUGAUAACUGAGGGCUUCAAUACCCCACUUUCAGCAUUGAACAGAUCAUCUAGGUAGAAAGCUAACAAAUCAUCAUCAAAUUUAAUCUGUACCACAGACCAAAUAGACUUAACAGACAUUUACACAACAUUUCAUCCAAUAGCUGUGGAGUACACAUUCUUCUCCUCAUCACAUAGAACAUUCUCCAGGCUAGACCAUAUGUUAAGACACAAAACAAGUUUCAACAAAUUUUGAAAAAUCAACAUUAUAUCAAGUAUAUUCUAGACAAAAAUAGAAUAGAACUAGAAAUGAAUACUAGGAAGAACUUUGGAAACUAUACAGAUAACAUGGAAAUUAAACAACAUGCUUCUGAACAACCAUUGAGUCAAUGAAAAAACUCAGAAGAAAAUAACAAAUGUUCUUGAAAUAAAUGCAAAUGGAAACACAACAUACCAAAACCUAUGGAAUACAACAAAGACAGUGCUAAGAGAGAAUUUUACAGCAAUAAAUGCCUACUGCAAGAACAUAGUAAGAUUAUAAACAAGCUACUAUGCACCUCAAGGAACAAGAAAAACAAGAAAAAAUGAAAUCCAAACUUAGGAGAAGGAAAGAAAUAAUAAAAAUCAGAGCAGGACUAAGUGAAUUCGAGAUUUAAAAAAUUCAAAGAAUUAAUGAAACAAAAAGUUGACUUUUGGAAGAGAUAAACAGACUUUAUAAACUGCUAGCUAGACUAACCAAGAACAAAAGAGAGAAUGCCAAAUAAAUAAAAUCAGAAAUAAAACAGGAGACAUUACAACUGAUAUAAAAGAAACACAAUGGAUCAUUAGAGUCUGUUAUAAACAACCAUAUGCUAAAUAAUUCAUAUGAUGAAAUUUUUUUACCAACACCAAUAAUCAAUCUAACUUUCCCAAAUUAAUUUUAAAAUCCACCAAUACUUUAUAAUAAAUACAUAUUAAACUGUGGUUUAUACCUGAGAUUUAGAUUAUCAAUUGACUUAUUUAUCUUUUCUGAGGCACAUGUUACCUCAGAGCACAUUUUAAAAUUUAUUUCAAGAUUCCAUCAUUUAUAUAAUUAUACAGAAUUAUACUUUUCCUCCGUGAAUGUUGGUGUUUUAUAUUUUUAUUGAGAUAGAAUUUACUAUAAAAUUCAUUCCUUUAGAGUGUUCCAUUUAGUGAGUAUCAGUGGAUUCUUAAAGUGGGAUAUACUGAUGACCACUGAAUGAAGGAAUGAGGUACGAAUCUAUGCCACAACAUGGAUGAAUCUUGAAAACAUUAUGCUAAAUGAAAGAAGGCAGACAUGAAGGAUCACAUAUUUAUUAUUCUGUUCAUAGUAAAUGUCCAGAAUAGGAAUAUACAUAGAGACAAAAAUUAGAUCAGUGGUUGCUAGGGACUGGGAGGAGGAGAGAUUUCUUCUUGUGCUUAUAAACAUAUUCUGGAAUUAGAUAAUGGUGAGGGGUGCACAAUUUUAAGAAUACACUGAUAACCACUGAAUAGAACACUUUAAGGCAAUGAAUUUUAUGGUAAAUUUUAUCUCAAUAAAAAUAUAAAAAACCCACUAGCAUUCAUGGGGGAAAGGCAUAAUUAUUUAUAAUUAUAUAAAUAAGGGAAUCUUGAAUCAUGAAGUAUUAUAUAAAUGAGGGAAUCUUGAAUUGUGAAGUAUUAAAAUGUGCUUCAGAAAUGAUCAAUAAGUCAACCAGUAAUCUAAAUCUCAGGUAUGAACCACAGUUUAAUAUGUUUUUAUUAUGGGGUAUUGAUGAAUUUUAAAAUUAAUUUGGGAAAGUCAUAUUGAUUAUUUAAUAAAUAUGCCUAUAUAUAAUUGGCUAGUUUUGUGGUUAAAAAUUAAGGUGGAAUCUUAACUCUCACCAUACAAAAAGUAAUUUCCAUAUACAUUAAAUGAUAUCAUAUGAGUUUUAUUCAACUUUAAAGGAACACAGAGGCUAGGUCCUUGCCUGGAUCAGUGGUGAAUUUAUCCUGUGAACCAAGGAUUAUGGUGGAGUAUCCACCUCUUCACCUCUAGCCCUUCUUCUAGUCAUCAUUCGCUUUUCAUUUUUCCAAUUCUUUAAAUUUCCUGUGUUCUGUGUGCAUCCUCUCACCAUCUUUUGAUCAAACACAACUCUCAAGUAAUUUUAUUUUUUUUAUGAUUAUUUUUUGAGACAGGGUCUCACUCUGUUGCCCAGGCUGGUGUGCAGUGGCAUGAACUAAGCUGAAUGCAGCCUUGACAUCUCAGGCUCAAGCGAUCCUCCUGCCUAAGCUUCCUGAGCAGCCAGAACCACAGGCACGCACCACUAUACCUGACUAAUUUUUUGUAUAUAUAUAUAUUUUUUGUAGAGAUGUGGUUUCACCCUGUUGCCCCCACCGGGCUGGUCUAGAACUCCUGAGCUCACCCACCUCAAACUCCCCAAAUGCUGGGAUUAUAGACAUGAGCCACUGUGCCCGGCCUCAAGUGAGUUUAUCAUAGGUUAAAUCACUGCAGUGAACCACCUUAUUUAUUUCUUUAGUAUCAACUCUUCAGUCUCUUGAGCAGCCUUCAUGGUACAGUAAAAUCUGCCCAUGCCUAAUUUAUUUUCAGACUCUUGAAAGACCUUGCAUUUUCUUUUACUUACAUUUUUAGAACUUUGGAAUAAAAAAGUUUCUGUCUUACUUGGAGGAACUGUGGACAUCAAGGAAAGGACUCCAAAGACAAAAAACAAGACCCUCAUGGUUGAAUAGGUAAAGCAGGUUAGAGAGAAUCAGUAGCUGAGAUGAAGAGGACUUCUGUGUACAUUCAGUCCUCUGAAGAGGUGAGUUGCUGAGUAAUUAUUGAGCCUUUCAGGAGCAAGAACAUUUCUGUGUUUCAAUGAGAUUUUAUAUCAGGAGACAGCAUGCAAUCAUCAUGACUAUCAGUCAUUUAAAGUACAUUUAUCAAAGGUCAACAGGGUGUGUGCAAAGGUAGUAGAAAGCACAGCCAUGGCAAAGGCAGGAGAGAGACUUGAAAUAUCAGCAUUGUCUUAUGCAUUCUGGAGGAACUGUAAAAGUUAAGGAAGCAGUUAUAGAGGAAAAGCAUUCAUUUUAUUUUUCUGAUAAUGGGAAGAACCAUGUAAUACAACAGCAUGCCUAUUUAUUACUAUUUUGGCACCGUGUGUUAGCAUGCUUAAGCAAUGGAAUUAAAUGUGGAAUUAUAAACA